UAAGACGAACCGUGCGAACGUUGUUCGGAAUCACUGGGCUUAAAGGGCGCGUAGGCGGGCGAGCAAGUCCGGGGUGAAAUCUUUCGGCUUAACCGGAAAAGUGCCUUGGAUACUGCUCGUCUCGAGGGAGGUAGGGGCAGGUGGAACUUCCGGUGGAGCGGUGAAAUGCGUUGAUAUCGGAAGGAACGCCGGUGGCGAAAGCGACCUGCUGGAUCUCUACUGACGCUGAGGCGCGAAAGCUAGGGGAGCGAACGGGAUUAGAUACCCCGGUAGUCCUAGCCCUAAACGAUGGGUACUAGGUAGUGGACUUAACAUGGGUUCACUGCCGAAGCAAAAGUGUUAAGUACCCCGCCUGGGGAGUAUGGUCGCAAGGCUG
rnacentral:rRNA from 1 species